rnacentral:tRNA from 1 species
GGGAGAUUAGCUCAGCUGGUUUAGAGCAUCUGCCUUACAAGCAGAGGGUCGGGGGUUCGAAUCCCUCAUCUCCCA